rnacentral:lncRNA from 12 species
CCUGGCAGUGUGUUAUCUAUGAAAGGCGGUUGGAGAAACUGGCAUGUCCUCUUACCUGCAGGUACAUAUGACCUCUCACACCCCCAAGAGCCUGCAAUCUGCAUUUCCAAGAGACCACUGCAGAGAUUUCCACAGCACCUCUGCUUCUCUAAUGACAUGGGCACAAGAUUCCACCCUUAUUUCACAUUCAGCCAAUGCAGCUCUGCACAUGGAAAGACGACUGUGCUAAUGCAGCCGACUCUCCACGUGUGGGUGUGGCUGAGAAGAUGAAAGAGUCUAGAGGCCGCAUUUCCUUUCCUUCGUGGACUUGGAGGGCCUUUGAAACAUUCCAUCAGGGGCUUGCAGAGGACGUCUGGCAGUGAGUCAAUCAAGAGGCAGCAUGAACUGGCAGCAGAAUCAACAAGAAUUUUUAAAAUAUACAUUUAUAUAUACAUUGAUAUACUUUUUUGUCUAUCUGCUAGUCCUAGGCAACCCGCAUCUGAAUUUGUUUCUAUGGCCUCUCCACAGUCUCUUUUGCCACCCUCCCAUCACUACCCCUUAUUCUUCCCUCACCACCCUUCUACCCCCACCCCCUGCUGUCCUCCUAGUGCUGAAGACCUGUGCAAUAUCAUUUUCCGCAUAAUGAAAUCUGGAGUGACAUUAAUAUAAGUGUAAUUUUAUAGAAGGGAAUGGGCCUGGCUGAUAGUUUCUACCUGCUGUGUUUUGAUGAUAGACAUCGGGAUGUCACCAUCUGUGUAAUGAAAUUUCACCUCCGUAAUGGUUCAGAUUAUCAAACGUUCUUCCAAGCUGGCUCUGGGAAUCUACUUAUUUAUUUAUUUACGUAUUUAUUUAUCUACAAAUGGCGCUGUAGGCCUGUUUAUCAUAGAGGGUAUGGGUGAAGAGAGUUUUAAGUGCAUUAAGCAAAGUAAAGGCAAAGUGAAUCUAAACAUUUGCUAUUGCCCCAUAGAUACAUUGAUCAUAAGGUGAAGUUACUAUUUCCGGUCCUGGGCAGAAGUUUCUCUUCUAUAUAUACUCCCAUAGCUCUCUAAGUGGAACAUAUCAAAUUGGUAGUUUAAUAUCAUGUGAGUGCAAAAUUAAGGUAAGAAAAAUGCCCUGAAUGUUUAUUAGACAGAUGUUUAUACAUUAUAUCAUUUAAUUUUUAGUGUUGUCAGGAUGAAAUGAGUUAACAAGUCUAAAGCUUCAGUAGGCAUAUAUAAGACAAAAUGUCUAAUAUUCUCAAAAUGGUAGAUGCUAUAUUUUCCUUUUAAGCAAAAUAAGGCUCAGAGAGAAUAAAUUAACUUCUUAAGAUGACCUAGGGAUGAAA